GAGUUUGAUCAUGGCUCAGAUUGAACGCUAGCGGCAGGCUUAAUACAUGCAAGUCGUGGGGCAGCAGGGCUGUAGCAAUACAGUCGCUGGCGACCGGCAAACGGGUGCGGAACACGUACGCAACCUUCCUUCAAGUGGGGGAUAGCCCGGGGAAACCCGGAUUAAUACCCCGUAAUAUAAUGAGGUGGCAUCACCUUAUUAUUAUAGCUCCGGCGCUUGAAGAUGGGCGUGCGCCUGAUUAGGUAGUUGGCGGGGUAAUGGCCCACCAAGCCUACGAUCAGUAACUGGUGUGAGAGCACGACCAGUCACACGGGCACUGAGACACGGGCCCGACUCCUACGGGAGGCAGCAGUAAGGAUAUUGGGCAAUGGACGCAAGUCUGACCCAGCCAUGCCGCGUGGAGGAUGAAGGUCCUCUGGAUUGUAAACUUCUUUUAUCUGGGAAGAACCCAAGGUUUCUACUUUGGUUGACGGUACCAGAUGAAUAAGCACCGGCUAACUCCGUGCCAGCCGCCGCAGU
rnacentral:rRNA from 1 species